rnacentral:rRNA from 1 species
UACGAAGGGUGCAAGCGUUACUCGGAAUUACUGGGCGUAAAGGGCGCGUAGGUGGUGCGACAAGCAGGAUGUGAAAUCCCCGGGCUUAACCUGGGAACUGCAUCCUGGACUGUCGUGCUGGAGUACUGUAGAGGAUAGUGGAAUUUCCGGUGUAGCGGUGAAAUGCGUAGAGAUCGGAAGGAACACCAGUGGCGAAGGCGACUGUCUGGACAGAUACUGACACUGAGGCACGAAGGCCAGGGGAGUAAACGGG